CCUCUUGUUCGGGAUAACUGCUGGAAACGGCAGCUAAUACCGGAUAAGCUCCCCCAAUUGUAUGGGGAGGAAAGGAGGCCUCUUCAUGAAAGCUUCCGCGAGGGGAUGAGUCCGCGUCCCAUUAGCUAGUUGGUGAGGUAACGGCCCACCAAGGCAACGAUGGGUAGCCGGUCUAAGAGGAUGACCGGCCACACUGGAACUGAAACACGGUCCAGACUCCUACGGGAGGCAGCAGUGGGGAAUAUUGCGCAAUGGACGAAAGUCUGACGCAGCGACGCCGCGUGAGGGAUGAAGGUUUUCGGAUCGUAAACCUCUGUCAGGAGGGAAGAAAGCGCAUGGCGCCAAUCAGCCAUGCGUUGACGGUACCUCCAAAGGAAGCGCCGGCUAACUCCGUGCCAGCAGCCGCGGUAAUACGGAGGGCGCGAGCGUUAAUCGGAAUUACUGGGCGUAAAGCGCGCGUAGGCUGUUGUGUAAGUUGGGGGUGAAAUCCCACGGCUCAACCGUGGAACAGCCCUUGAUACUGCGCGACUUGAAUCCGGGAGAGGGUGGCGGAAUUCCAGGUGUAGGAGUGAAAUCCGUAGAUAUCUGGAGGAACAUCAGUGGCGAAGGCGGCCACCUGGACCGGUAUUGACGCUGAGGCGCGAAAGCGUGGGGAGCAAACAGGAUUAGAUACCCUGGUAGUCCACGCUGUAAACGAUGGAUGCUGGAUGUCGGGGAGUAAUCCCCGGUGUCGUAGCCAACGCGAUAAGCAUCCCGC
rnacentral:rRNA from 1 species